rnacentral:rRNA from 1 species
CGUUCCCGGGCCUUGUACACACCGCCCGUCACACCACGAAAGUCGGCAAUACCCGAAGCCGGUGGGCCAACCCGUAAGGGAGGCAGCCGUCGGAGGUAGGGUUGAUGAUUGGGGUG